rnacentral:rRNA from 1 species
ACUGAACGCUGGCGGCGUGGUUAAAGCAUGCAAGUCGAGCGGACCCGCAAGGGUUAGCGGCGAAAGGGUGAGUACAAGUAUCCAAACGUACCCCGAGGUGUGGGAUAGGCAGGGGAAACCCGGCAUAAUACCACAUGAUCUCUACGGAGCAAAGAUUUAUCGCCUUGGGAGCGUGGAUACACCUAUCAGGUAGUUGGCGGGGUAACGGCCCACCAAGCCGAAGACGGGUAGCAGGUGUGAGAGCACGGCCUGCCACAUCGAAACUGAGAUACUGUUCGGACUCCUACGGGAGGCUGCAGCGACGAAUCUUCCGCAAUGGGCGAAAGCCUGACGGAGCGACGCCGCGUGUGGGAUGAAGCGGCUUUGCCGUGUAAACCACUGUCAGGAAAUAGAAACAUUGAUCAUUUCCAAAGGAAGGGGCGACUAACUCUGUG